rnacentral:rRNA from 1 species
GUACUCGAGUGGCGAACGGGUGAGUAAUACUCAAGUAAUCUGCCCUUUAGACGGGAAUAACCUAUGGAAACGUGGGCUAAUACCGGAUAAGCUCUUUUAACCGCAUGGCUAAAAGAGGAAACCGAGCAAUCGGCUGAAGGAUGAGCUUGAGUCCAAUUAGCUAGUUGGUAGGGUAAAGGCCUACCAAUGCGACGAUUGGUAGCUGGUUUGAGAGGAUGGACAGCCACACUGGGACUGAGACACGGCCCAGACUCCUACGGGAGGCAGCAGUGAGGAAUUUUGCGCAAUUGGGCGAAAGCCUGACGCAGCGACGCCGCGUGAACGAUGAAGCCCUUCGGGGUGUAAAGUUCUGUCAGUAGGGAAAAAAUUGAUGGUACCUACAGAGGAAGCACCGGCUAACUAUGUGCCAGCAGCCGCGGUAAUACAUAGGGUGCAAGCGUUGUCCGGAAUUAUUGGGCGUAAAGAGUUCGUAGGUGGUAACUUAAGUCAAAAUUUAAAGACCGAGGCUUAACUUCGGUUCGGUUUUGAUACUGGGUUACUUGAGAACGGGAGAGGUAAGCGGAACUCACAGUGUAGCGGUGAAAUGCGUAGAUAUUGUGAGGAACACCAGUUGCGAAGGCGGCUUACUGGGACCGAUUCGGACACUGGAGGAACGAAAGCGUGGGGAGCAGACAGGAUUUAGAUACCCUGGUAGUCCACGCUGUAGACGAUGUACAUUAGGUGUUGAGGGUAUCGACCCCUUCAGUGCCGUAGUUAACGCGUUAAAUGUACCGCCUGGGGAGUACGGUCGCAAGACUAAAACUCAAAGGAAUUGACGGGGGCCCGCACAAGCAGUGGAUUAUGUGGUUUAAUUCGACGAUACGCGAAGAACCUUACCAGAACUUGACAUCCAGAGUAGGCCAUAGAAGUAUGGCUGUGCCUUCGGGAGCUCUGUGACAGGUGGUGCAUGGUUGUCGUCAGUUCGUGCCGUGAGGUGUUGGGUUAAGUCCCGCAACGAGCGCAACCCGUAUCCUGUGUUGCUACAUUAAGUUGAAGAACUCUCAGGAGACUGCCCGUGGAAAACGGGAGGAAGGUGGGGAUGACGUCAAAUCAUCAUG